rnacentral:rRNA from 1 species
CCUACGGGGGACAGCAGUGAGGAAUAUUGGUCAAUGGCCGGAAGGCUGAACCAGCCAUGCCGCGUGAAGGUCAGUGCCCUAUGGGCGUUAAACUUCUUUUGUGCGGGAGCAAUAAUGGUCACGUGUGGCCAGACGAGAGUACCGUACGUAUCAGCAUCGGCUAACUCCGUGCCAUCAGCAGCGGUCAUACGGGGGAUGCAAGCGUUAUCCGGAUUUAUUGCGUUUAAAGGGUGCGUCGGCGGUGAGGUAAGUCAGCGGUGAAAUGCCCCGGCUCAACGGGGUGAAGUGCCAUUGAUACUGCCUUGCUGGAAUGCGGAUGCCGUGGGAGGAAUGUGUGGUGUAGCGGUGAAAUGCAUAGAUAUCACACAGAACACCGAUUGCGAAGGCAUCUCACGAAUCCGCGAUUGACGCUGAUGCACGAAAGCGUGGGUAUCAAACAGGAUUAGAUUCCCGGGUAGUC